ensembl:lncRNA
GGGCCAUCCACGCUAAUGUGUCAGAGGAUGUGGGUGCCGCUCGUGUGCAGAGAGCUUGAAAAAUGGCCAGACAGAGGCAAGCUCGCGGGGCGUGCUGUCAGCGGCGCCAGCAGGAUAAUAAAUCAACCUGUCUCCUGCCAGGGUAACGAGCUCACUCCUCGUUAGUAUAGUGGUGGGUGCUGCCAGCCAGCCAGAUGAGACCCGAGCAGAGGGACUCAGGACGGUUGAAAGAGGACGACGAUCCCCUGGGAAUGGAGCUGACACAAGUUCGGAAGCAAGGGCAAGCACGUAAGGCUGUGACUGCAGAGCAGCCUUCGGAGCAGGCGAUGGGGUGAGGCCAACUCUGCUCAGCAGCCUCUGACCCCUAGGGAGCUGCCAUUCAGAGCAACCGUGGCUUCACGUGUGUGUCAGGAGGAUGGAGGGUCGCUCUGUGUAGUCAGGUCUGAAGAUUCACCCAUGAGUCCAGGGAAACCACAUCGCCAAUUCAAAUCCACACGCAUGAAUUUGAGAAGAGCUCUCCCCAAGCUCAGGGAGCCUGUGCUGGGAGGUCAGCCCAGGUGGCACGUGGGCUUCUUGCCCUGAGGCGGUGAGCCCAACACCCCCACCCGGAGGCAGGGAAGACGCCUGGCCCGAGGCAGCCCUGGGCCAGUGCCGAUUCAUCCAUACGUCGUGCAGUGGCGUGGAGGGUCCUUCCUAAUGCCGAAUGCAGCUCUUGGUCCUCCCUUCACUCCCAGACGGAUUGAGGGGCGGUCUGCGGGAUCCCGAGGGGGUCGCAAGAGGACAGAAAAGGGGGAGGCCCAGGUGAAGAGUCCAGCAGAGACAAGGAGAAGAGAGAAGCACUUCUGGAAGGGAUGGAGGUCAGAACCCCAAGUGCAGCCCGCUUCCUGUUGGAGGGGUCGUUCAGGCCCUGGGACUCAGUUCUCCAAGCAGCCGGCCACCGACAUGGACACUGGCCAGCUGGAAGCCUCUUGGGUGCGGAUGCAGAGUCCAGGUGGAAAGAGAGAGUCUGGGGGGCAGUCUUCCUGCCGCCCUCCUGUGUGUCCAGCGGGACCGGUGGUGAGGGAAGGAGCUGACGGGACCCCCAUCCUGGACACUCGCCGAUGCCCCCAGCAGGCUUCAGAGUCUGUGCGCCCAGGACUGGGCCUCAGCGCGCGGUCAGUGGGAC